UACGUAGGGUGCAAGCGUUGUCCGGAAUUAUUGGGCGUAAAGAGCUCGUAGGCGGUUCGUCGCGUCGGCUGUGAAAACCCGGAGCUCAACUCCGGGCCUGCAGUCGAUACGGGCGGACUUGAGUGUUGCAGGGGAGACUGGAAUUCCUGGUGUAGCGGUGAAAUGCGCAGAUAUCAGGAGGAACACCGAUAGCGAAGGCAGCUCGCUGGGACGGUACUGACGCUGAGGCGCGAAAGCGUGGGGAGCAAACAGG
rnacentral:rRNA from 1 species